UACGAAGGGGGCUAGCGUUGCUCGGAAUUACUGGGCGUAAAGCGCACGUAGGCGGAUUGUUAAGUCGGGGGUGAAAUCCUGGAGCUCAACUCCAGAACUGCCUUCGAUACUGGCGAUCUCGAGUUUGGGAGAGGUGAGUGGAACUGCGAGUGUAGAGGUGAAAUUCGUAGAUAUUCGCAAGAACACCAGUGGCGAAGGCGGCUCACUGGCCCGAUACUGACGCUGAGGUGCGAAAGCGUGGGGAGCAAACAGG
rnacentral:rRNA from 1 species